rnacentral:rRNA from 1 species
GAUGAACGCUGGCGGCGUGCCUAAUACAUGCAAGUCGAGCGAAAAGACGAGGCGCUUGCUCCUCUGACGUUUGCGGAGGACGGGUGAGUAACACGUGGAUAACCCCCCUAUCAGACUGGGAUAACUUCGGGAAACCGGAGAUAAUACCGGAUGAUCUAUUGAUCCGCAUUGUUCAAUAGUAAAAGACGGUUUUGCUGUAACUUCUCGCUGGUUCCGGGCCGCCUUGGGUAGUGGGUAAUGUAAAGGCUUACCACGGCAACGAUGCGUAACCGACCUACGAGGAUGAUCGGCCACCCUGGAACUUGAACACGGUCCAGACUACUACGGGAGGCAGCAGUAGGCAAUCUUCCGCAGUGGUCGAAAGCUUGACAGAGCAACGCCGAGUGAGAGAUGAAGGUCUUGGGAUCGUAAAACUGUGUUACUAGUGAAGAACAAAUUUGUAAGUAACUAUGCACGUCUUGACGGUACCUAAUCAGAAAGCCACGGCUAACUACGUG